CCCUAGCCCCGAUAAAAACGACAUCCUUUUUGGUGGCGGGCGGAACGAAGAGGAGACCGCUACCAAAAAGAUACAGUGAAUAGCGGGAAAAAGC
rfam:Chryseobacterium formosense strain LMG 24722 contig01, whole genome shotgun sequence.